rnacentral:rRNA from 1 species
AAACGACUCUCGGCAACGGAUAUCUGGCUCUCGCAUCGAUGAAGAACGUACGAAAUGCGAUACUUGGUGUGAAUUGCAGAAUCCCGUGAACCAUCGAGUCUUUGAACGCAAGUUGCGCCCCAAGCCUUCUGGCCGAGGCACUCUGCCUGGGUGUCAC